GGCGGACGGGUGAGUAAUGCUUGGGAACAUGCCUUGAGGUGGGGGACAACAGUUGGAAACGACUGCUAAUACCGCAUAAUGUCUUCGGACCAAACGGGGCUUAGGCUCCGGCGCAAAGAGAGGCCCAAGUGAGAUUAGCUAGUUGGUAAGGUAACGGCUUACCAAGGCGACGAUCCCUAGCUGGUUUGAGAGGAUGAUCAGCCACACUGGGACUGAGACACGGCCCAGACUCCUACGGGAGGCAGCAGUGGGGAAUAUUGCACAAUGGGCGCAAGCCUGAUGCAGCCAUGCCGCGUGUGUGAAGAAGGCCUUCGGGUUGUAAAGCACUUUCAGUCAGGAGGAAAGGUUAGUAGUUAAUACCUGCUAGCUGUGACGUUACUGACAGAAGAAGCACCGGCUAACUCCGUGCCAGCAGCCGCGGUAAUACGGAGGGUGCGAGCGUUAAUCGGAAUUACUGGGCGUAAAGCGUACGCAGGCGGUUUGUUAAGCGAGAUGUGAAAGCCCCGGGCUCAACCUGGGAACUGCAUUUCGAACUGGCAAACUAGAGUGUGAUAGAGGGUGGUAGAAUUUCAGGUGUAGCGGUGAAAUGCGUAGAGAUCUGAAGGAAUACCGAUGGCGAAGGCAGCCACCUGGGUCAACACUGACGCUCAUGUACGAAAGCGUGGGGAGCAAACGGGAUUAGAUACCCCGGUAGUCCACGCCGUAAACGAUGUCUACUAGAAGCUCGGAGCCUCGGUUCUGUUUUCAAAGCUAACGCAUUAAGUAGACCGCC
rnacentral:rRNA from 1 species